ACACAUGCAGUCGAGCGGUAGAGAGAAGCUUGCUUCUCUUGAGAGCGGCGGACGGGUGAGUAAUGCCUAGGAAUCUGCCUGGUAGUGGGGGAUAACGUUCGGAAACGGACGCUAAUACCGCAUACGUCCUACGGGAGAAAGCAGGGGACCUUCGGGCCUUGCGCUAUCAGAUGAGCCUAGGUCGGAUUAGCUAGUUGGUGGGGUAAUGGCUCACCAAGGCGACGAUCCGUAACUGGUCUGAGAGGAUGAUCAGUCACACUGGAACUGAGACACGGUCCAGACUCCUACGGGAGGCAGCAGUGGGGAAUAUUGGACAAUGGGCGAAAGCCUGAUCCAGCCAUGCCGCGUGUGUGAAGAAGGUCUUCGGAUUGUAAAGCACUUUAAGUUGGGAGGAAGGGUUGUAGAUUAAUACUCUGCAAUUUUGACGUUACCGACAGAAUAAGCACCGGCUAACUCUGUGCCAGCAGCCGCGGUAAUACAGAGGGUGCAAGCGUUAAUCGGAAUUACUGGGCGUAAAGCGCGCGUAGGUGGUUAGUUAAGUUGGAUGUGAAAUCCCCGGGCUCAACCUGGGAACUGCAUUCAAAACUGACUGACUAGAGUAUGGUAGAGGGUGGUGGAAUUUCCUGUGUAGCGGUGAAAUGCGUAGAUAUAGGAAGGAACACCAGUGGCGAAGGCGACCACCUGGACUGAUACUGACACUGAGGUGCGAAAGCGUGGGGAGCAAACAGGAUUAGAUACCCUGGUAGUCCACGCCGUAAACGAUGUCAACUAGCCGUUGGGAGCCUUGAGCUCUUAGUGGCGCAGCUAACGCAUUAAGUUGACCGCCUGGGGAGUACGGCCGCAAGGUUAAAACUCAAAUGAAUUGACGGGGGCCCGCACAAGCGGUGGAGCAUGUGGUUUAAUUC
rnacentral:rRNA from 1 species